UCGUUCGUUAGAGAACCUUAAUAGGUUUGUCAAGUGGCUUAAAGAAUAAGGAUUGACAUUUUAUGCAUCUGUAUUAUUUAUGUUAGCUGAAAGAAAUCAGAUCAAAGUUGAUGCAGUAAGCUUUUCAAGCGAUUAAAAUGUCUACAAGGUGUCCAAAAAUGAAGAUAUAUAUGGCCAUGAAACUGAAACAAAAUUUAGUAAGCUUUUCAAGUGAUUGAAAUGUUUACAAGGCCACUUUCUUUGUUUUAGUCGUCUGGAUGCUUUAAGACAAAGACAGAUAAUGUAAUCUAGUAUCCUUUCUUCUUUUCAUUUGAUAUAUAUAGUCUUGUAUGACAUUGUAUUCAAGUUAAGAGUAUCUCUUAGUACUUUAAUUCUUAAAUAUGUUUUUCUUAUAAAAAAAAUCACGAAAAAUCAUUAAGAUGUAAAUACUUAUUUUUAUAUAUUUAAAGAAAUACCAUAGUCAAUAUCAAAACUGAUGCAAAACAGAUAAAAAACAUUGCUCCAAACUAGUAUAUCAUUCUUGGAUUCCAAGGCACAUCUCAAUUACACAGCCUACUCUGAGCAUUAUUUCACUUUUUUCUGCAAUUAACCUCACAGUGACUUUACAAAAUCUAGUUAACUAACAUUAGUUAAUGGAGUCCAGUGGCAUCAAUUGAUUCAUGUGGCCAAACCUACUCAACCCAGUAAGUGGGAUAUAGUAGCAGAG
rnacentral:lncRNA from 1 species